GCCCCCGUAGCCCAACCGGCAGAGGCAAACGACUUAAAAUCGUUACAGAGUGGGUUCGAAUCCCACCGGGGGUACUA
rnacentral:tRNA from 1 species